rnacentral:rRNA from 1 species
UACGGGGGGAGCAAGCGUUGUUCGGAUUUACUGGGCGUAAAGGGCGCGUAGGCGGCCAGCACAAGUCAGUUGUGAAAUCUCCGAGCUUAACUCGGAACGGUCAACUGAUACUGUGCGGCUAGAGUGCGGAAGGGGCAACUGGAAUUCUCGGUGUAGCGGUGAAAUGCGUAGAUAUCGAGAGGAACACCUGCGGCGAAGGCGGGUUGCUGGGCCGACACUGACGCUGAUGCGCGAAAGCCAGGGGAGCAAACGGG